CGCCAGCGCUCGACAGAUGGAGGGUGGGUCCUGUCUCCGAGUCGCCGGGAACCGUCCAGCAUCUUCUCACGUCGUCCAGUUUGACCUGCAGCCGACAUUCCUGGCGCCCCGGGGGCCUCGGGUCACCGCACCACCGGCCAGCGCCGUUUUGGAGCGUCGGGUCCCGGGACUCGCCCGGUGGGGAGACUUGGGCCCACCGACGGCGAGAAGCGGGUCCGGGGAUGCGUGGGCCCAAGGUCUCGGAGGGAGGUUCGUGCGGAGCCGGUGUGAACCGCACCCGCGCUGCGCCAGAGGCCCCCCGAUCACAUCCCAUCACCUCCGACUCCAACGUUUCAUCCCCUGAAGCCGCUUGUCGGUUGCCGGGCAAAUAUCUUCGUGACCAUUAGCCCAUUUCCCCUCGGUUAACUUCUAAGGUAAAAGUGUUCAAACUUCCACUUUAACUGAGGACGCCCCCAGGGCUCUAGAAGAGCAGAGUCUGGCUUCCUGGGCCCCUGCUUCGCACUGAAGGCCUUCCCCUCUCUUUGCCGGGCCAGGCCCUGCGCAGCCUCCUCCCCUCCUGCAGGGCCCUGACCCGCACUGCCUGCCGCGCCCCCCCCACCACCCCCACCCCGUGUCCAGGGACUGAGCUGUCCCCUGGGGCAGUGCUGGAGCUGUGGCCUUCCUGCCCUACUGCAGAGGCGGUGGUUCCUGGGCUUGGGGGUUCUGGGACCUGCCUUGCAAAGCCCUUGUGCAAGAGGAUGGGGGUGGGUUUGGGGGCCAGAAAGGCCUGAGUUCGGAUCCUGAGUCAGCCCCUCAUUAGCCGGGGAACCUGGGGUGAGUUCCUUUAUUCUCCUGAGCUUUCCUUUCCUUCAAGGGGGAAAAUGGCAAUCACUCCGGAAGGGCAGAGGCCUGGUCUGUGUUCUUUUUAUUUGAACUCACAGUACUUGGCAUGUAGUGGGUGCUCAGUUGGUAUUUGUGGGGUGGAUGAGUAAUUGAGGCUUUUUUUUUUUUUUUUAAACCAGAAGUUGGUCUCCCCUGGCUUCUUUUGAUGGGGGGCGGUGGAACCUUUUCAGGAAGUGAGGCUAGUGCCUGGGGUCCUGGGCCUGGCUGGGCAGCUUUCCCCUGCCUGGGUGGAGAGCCGGCUGCUAACCCGGGCUCCUCUGCCUGAUUCCCCAUCUGCCCUUCUCUGCCCCUGCAUUCGAAAGUGAUCGUGGGCUGCCGGUGCCUUAGUCAUUUAUAGUGCAGGGAGAGGAAUUGCUGAAAGCGUUUUCCCUGUGUUUGGAGGGUUCACUCCUGUCCCUUCUGAACUCUGGAGCUGUCACACACUGUCUCCCUCCUACUGCCUUUUUAGAUCUGCCUCCUGG
rnacentral:lncRNA from 1 species